UACAGAGGGUGCAAGCGUUGUUCGGAAUUACUGGGCGUAAAGCGCACGUAGGUGGCUGGGUAAGUUGGAUGUGAAAUCCCCGGGCUUAACUUGGGAAUUGCAUUCAAGACUGCCUUGCUAGAGUGUGGAAGAGGGAAGCGGAAUUCCAGGUGUAGCGGUGAAAUGCGUAGAUAUCUGGAGGAACAUCAGUGGCGAAGGCGGCUUCCUGGUCCAACACUGACACUGAGGUGCGAAAGCGUGGGGAGCAAACAGG
rnacentral:rRNA from 1 species